UCUCCCUGCAUCAAACCUCAUCACUACAAACCAUUUCAUGACACUCAUGGCAACAAUGAACUUUUUUCCUUACAAAAUCUUCAAGCUACGCACUAAAGUGUAAGAGCCUGAGUUCAUGUGUGAAGUUGAGAUGUUUUGGCUAGAAAUGGUCGGUCUCACCUCAAUGCAUGUCAGAGCCUGGUCCGCAUUGCUGGCAGUAAGUGGGGCUCGUUUCCAGUGAGGGUUGGACUCCGCCAGGGCUGCCCUUUGUCACCGAUUCUGCGAUGUUUUUCAGAAAUUUCACACAAU